ACUAAAACGUAGGAGGACACUUGUCCAGAUAUCAACGGUGAAAAGUUACCCCACAACGGAAAAGACACGCGAAAAUAAAGUAAAUAAAUAAUAAAUAAAAAGGCUCCGAGUGCCUUUACGAUUGUGGAUACUGUUGUCUGGAAACGACAACAACCCGCAGGCUACUGCCAGAAUCCAGACCAACAUAUUUUUAUAAGGCGCAAACUGGGGAAAAAAAACCUUUUUUUUUUUUUUU
rnacentral:misc_RNA from 1 species